rnacentral:rRNA from 1 species
CAGUCGCCGCGGUAAUACGAAGGGUGCAAGCGUUACUCGGAAUUACUGGGCGUAAGGCGUGCGUAGGUGGUGGUUUAAGUCCGUUGUGAAAGCCCUGGGCUCAACCUGGGAAUUGCAGUGGAUACUGGAUCACUAGAGUGUGGUAGAGGAUAGUGGAAUUUCCGGUGUAGCAGUGAAAUGCGUAGAGAUCGGAAGGAACAUCUGUGGCGAAAGCAGCUCACUGGACCAUUACUGACGCUGAGGCGCGAAAGCUAGGGGAGCAAACAGGAUUAGAUACCCCGGUAGUCCCUGUCUCUUAUAC